UUGAUCCUGGCUCAGGAUGAACGCUGGCGGUGUGCCUAAGGUAUGCAAGUCGAACGGUCCUUAUGAUUAUCAUUUGGACAGUGGCAGACUGGUGAGUAACGCGUGGAUAAUCUGCCCCGAAGAUGAGGAUAGCUCGCCGAAAGGUGAGGUAAUCCUCAAUGGUGUGGGAAGUACAUAUGUACAUCCCACUAAAGCUUUAGCGCUUCGGGAUGAGUCUGCGUCCUAUCAGCUUGUUGGUAGAGUAAAGGUCUACCAAGGCUAAGACGGGUAACUGGUCUGAGAGGAUGGUCAGUCACAGUGGCACUGAAACACGGGCCACACUCCUACGGGAGGCAGCAAUUAGGAAUCUUGCACAAUGGAGGAAACUCUGAUGCAGCGACACCGCGUGAAGGAUGAAGACCCUCGGGUUGUAAACUUCUUUUAUAAUCUAACAAGUUCUGAGUGGAGUAUGAAUAAGCACCUGCUAACUGCGUGCCAGAAGCAUCGGUGAAGCGUGGGGUGCGAGCGUUAUCCGGAUUUAUUGGGCGUAAAGAGAUGCGUAGGCGUUUUGGUAAGUCUUCUGUCAAAGCCUUCGGCCUAACCGAAGAAAGGCAGAGGAUACUAUCAGAAUUGAGACAGAGAGGGGGAAGUGGAAUUCCCGGUGGAGCGGUGAAAUGCGUUGAUAUCGGGAGGAACACCAGUGGCGAAGGCAACUUCCUGGCUCUGUUCUGACGCUGAGGCUCGAAAGCGUGGAGAGCAAAGCGGAUUAGAUACCCGUGUAGUCCAUGCUGUAAACGUUGGAUACUGGACGUUUGG
rnacentral:rRNA from 1 species